UUGAUCCAUCUUCCGCGUGGAGGUUACUAGGUAAACACUAACAACAACAACAAAACGUCAAAUGGAACCGAAUACGACAGAUUGCAGCAGUUAAGGCUGCAAAACCAACAGCAGAUUCGCUGCCUAUAAGACAUCCAAAAACUUUGGACACCCAGCAUGAGCAAUGGCUUUAUUUGAAGAUGGAAGAAGACCUUCUGUGCUCAGAGAGAGACCAAGGUUUCCAUCAACUGGCUUGCCAAUUAGCACCAUAAAUAUUGUGAAGAAAAACCUCCCAGACUCGAUAGGGUUUUAAGAGACUUCAAGUUAGCUGCACAAAAGUACAUCAUGUACGUGGUAGUUAAAGACUACAUGGUUAUGUCAGUUUUCUUGGACAAGCACUGGCCUUUGGAAAAGUCAGAAAACGUAUGCUUGAAAACUCAGUUGGACCUAAGUGAAGUUGUUAACAGAAACCAGAAGAAGCAACUCUGCUAGUUAUAUAUCUUUAGGACACCGGGCACAUUUUUGGUAUCGGCUAUACGAAGUAUAUGGUGAGCUAUCCUACUCACCACGGCUUCGGCGUCCUUCCGCAUCCCAGCCUUGGUUAAAGCUUUUAGCUCACCAUGAGGCUCAGGGUGGGCUAUUGUGAUCACUCACCGUCCGGCGUCCGUCGUCCGUCCAUAAACUUUUAUUUUAAAUGACACCUCCUCAUAAACCGCUAGGCCAAUUUCAUCCAAACUUCACAGGAAUGUUCCUUGGGUGAAGCUCGACUCGUGAGCGAUCCAGGGUCAUCAUGACCCUCUUGUUUACAUUUUCUCUUAUUUCUCCUCAUCUCUUUAAUUACUUGAUGGAUUUGAUUUAAACAUAAAAUAGUUAUUCUUCAUCAUCACCCACAUCAUAUGGCACAAGGGCCAUAACUCUCACACCUAUUUUUUGACGAAUUCCCCCCACCACCUUUUUACUAAGAAUUUCAGGUUUUUGAUGCAGUUGCACUCUAUCUCGGUUAAAUUCCUUAAUGGAUUUGAUUCAGACUGAAAGUAGUUGUUCCACCUUAUCACCUUCAUCAUAUGACACAAUGUGCAUAACUCUGGCACCAAUUUUUCAUGAAAUAUGCCCCUUUUACUUAGAAUUUAAGGUUAAUAUUGAUUCAUAUUCACUAUAUCUGUAUUACGAAAUAGAUUUGAUUCAAACUUAAAAUAGUUGUUCCAUUCCAUCACACCCACAUCAUAUAACACAAGGUGCAUAACUCUUGCACCAGCAUUUUAUGAAUUAUGCCCCCUUUUUGCUUAGAAUUAUACUGAUAUUGUUUUUUGAUACACUUAAUCUUUACCUGUGUUAUUACUCAAUAUUUUUGACACAGACUCAAGCUUUUGAGUCAUUAAACAUUCCAUUGACAGCUCCAGUUUCAUCAGAUGUGCCCAUGUUUCACUAUCCAGCAUCGAAAUAGUCGAGCGCGCUGUCUCCUGUGACAGCUCUUGUUUUGCAACCUAACCAGGCAUAUGUAUGUUUUUGACAACACAGAAAAUGACGUCACUUGACUUUCUGCUAUUUCCGGAAGUAAAGAAAAGGAAAAUAGACGUGAUAAACUUGAAAACGAAAGUCACCUUUGCAUUGGUCGAUAGUCAGCGGUCAUGUGCAGUGGCACCCCGUCAAAAUGUACAGGGAGCCAAUUUUCAGCGUUUUCUAACUAUUUGAAAAUACCUGGGCUUUGGCACGACAUGUCACCGUUUCAUCAACGAAUACAUAUUUGAACUCUUAAUAAACACAAAUUCCAAAGGGGUCGGUAAUGGAGCAAGGGUACAUGGAGGUUUUUGGAACUUCGUCAUAUCGCUCAAAAGGUCCUUUGUGACGUUGUCUGAAAGAGUCAGUAUAUGCCUCGGAUGUAAGCUAUUUUCGUAUUUGAGAGCUGAAGACCUAGACAUUUCGGAUUUCAAGUGAUAAAUUCUACGGAAGCGUGAAAGGACCUAAUACGUUUUAUUACGUUACUGGUGCGGAAAGGAUAUUAUAUAGUUCAUGUCAGACGAUUUCAUUAUUACAAUUGAAUUUUGUACAUCUGAUAGUAGUUUAAUUACUUUGCUUUGAAGUAAGACAUUUAACAUAAGAUAUAAAACAAAUAAAAAAAUCGAGACCACUUUUCUAUGGUAAAACAUGGAUGGUACCUCCAA
rnacentral:lncRNA from 1 species